GAUGAACGCUAGCGGCAGGCUUAAUACAUGCAAGUCGAGGGGCAGCAGCUUUAUAGCAAUAUAGAGGUUGGCGACCGGCAAACGGGUGCGGAACACGUACACAACCUUCCUUUAAGAGGGGGAUAGCCCAUAGAAAUGUGGAUUAAUACCCCGUAACAUAUCGGUGUGGCAUCACACUGUUAUUAUAGUUUCGACGCUUGAAGAUGGGUGUGCGGCUGAUUAGGUAGUUGGCGGGGUAAAGGCCCACCAAGCCUUCGAUCAGUAGCUGAUGUGAGGGCAUGAUCAGCCACACGGGAACUGAGACACGGGCCCGACUCCUACGGGAGGCAGCAGUAAGGAAUAUUGGUCAAUGGACGCAAGUCUGAACCAGCCAUGCCGCGUGAAGGAUGAAGGUCCUCUGGAUUGUAAACUUCUUUUAUAGGGGGCGAAAAAAGGGAAUUCUUUCUCACUUGACAGUACCCUAUGAAUAAGCACCGGCUAACUCCGUGCCAGCAGCCGCCGUAA
rnacentral:rRNA from 1 species